UACGAGUGGUGCGAGCGUUAUUCGGAAUUAUUGGGCGUAAAGGGUGCGUAGGCGGCGUAUUAAGUCAACUGUUAAAUUCCUCGGCCUAACUGAGGUUAUGCAGUAGAUACUAUUAUGCUAGAGGUUGGAAGAGAGAAGUGGAAUUCUUGGAGUAGCGGUAAAAUGCGUAGAUCUCAAGAGGAACACCAAUGGCGAAGGCAGCUUCUUGGUCCAAAUCUGACGCUGAUGCACGAAAGCGUGGGGAGCAAACAGG
rnacentral:rRNA from 1 species